rnacentral:snRNA from 1 species
GUGCCUACUUUGGCAGCAUAUACACUAAAAUUAGAACAAUACUGAGAAAAUUAGCAUGCCCCUCCCCACAAGGAUGUCAUGCAAAUUCAUGAGGCACUCCUUACUUGG